AUUGAACGCUGGCGGCAUGCCUUACACAUGCAAGUCGAACGGCAGCACGGGGGCAACCCUGGUGGCGAGUGGCGAACGGGUGAGUAAUACAUCGGAACGUGCCCUGUAGUGGGGGAUAGCUCGGCGAAAGCCGGAUUAAUACCGCAUACGACCUACGGGUGAAAGCGGGGGAUCGCAAGACCUCGCGCUACAGGAGCGGCCGAUGUCAGAUUAGGUUGUUGGUGGGGUAAAGGCCUACCAAGCCGACGAUCUGUAGCUGGUCUGAGAGGACGACCAGCCACACUGGGACUGAGACACGGCCCAGACUCCUACGGGAGGCAGCAGUGGGGAAUUUUGGACAAUGGGCGCAAGCCUGAUCCAGCCAUGCCGCGUGCGGGAAGAA
rnacentral:rRNA from 1 species